rnacentral:rRNA from 1 species
CAAGUCGAACGGAAAGGCCCUUCGGGGUACUCGAGUGGCGAACGGGUGAGUAACACGUGGGUGAUCUGCCCUGCACUUUGGGAUAAGCCUGGGAAACUGGGUCUAAUACCGGAUAGGACCACGCGCUUCAUGGUGUGUGGUGGAAAGCUUUUGCGGUGUGGGAUGGGCCCGCGGCCUAUCAGCUUGUUGGUGGGGUAAUGGCCUACCAAGGCGACGACGGGUAGCCGGCCUGAGAGGGUGACCGGCCACACUGGGACUGAGAUACGGCCCAGACUCCUACGGGAGGCAGCAGUGGGGAAUAUUGCACAAUGGGCGCAAGCCUGAUGCAGCGACGCCGCGUGAGGGAUGACGGCCUUCGGGUUGUAAACCUCUUUCAAUAGGGACGAAGCGCAAGUGACGGUACCUAUAGAAGAAGGACCGGCCAACUACGUGCCAGCAGCCGCGGUAAUACGUAGGGUCCGAGCGUUGUCCGGAAUUACUGGGCGUAAAGAGCUCGUAGGUGGUUUGUCGCGUUGUUCGUGAAAACUCACAGCUUAACUGUGGGCGUGCGGGCGAUACGGGCAGACUAGAGUACUGCAGGGGAGACUGGAAUUCCUGGUGUAGCGGUGGAAUGCGCAGAUAUCAGGAGGAACACCGGUGGCGAAGGCGGGUCUCUGGGCAGUAACUGACGCUGAGGAGCGAAAGCGUGGGGAGCGAACAGGAUUAGAUACCCUGGUAGUCCACGCCGUAAACGGUGGGUACUAGGUGUGGGUUUCCUUCCUUGGGAUCCGUGCCGUAGCUAACGCAUUAAGUACCCCGCCUGGGGAGUACGGCCGCAAGGCUAAAACUCAAAGGAAUUGACGGGGCCCGCACAAGCGGCGGAGCAUGUGGAUUAAUUCGAUGCAACGCGAAGAACCUUACCUGGGUUUGACAUGCACAGGACGCCAGUAGAGAUAUUGGUUCCCUUGUGGCCUGUGUGCAGGUGGUGCAUGGCUGUCGUCAGCUCGUGUCGUGAGAUGUUGGGUUAAGUCCCGCAACGAGCGCAACCCUUGUCUCAUGUUGCCAGCACGUUAUGGUGGGGACUCGUGAGAGACUGCCGGGGUCAACUCGGAGGAAGGUGGGGAUGACGUCAAGUCAUCAUGCCCCUUAUGUCCAGGGCUUCACACAUGCUACAAUGGCCGGUACAAAGGGCUGCGAUGCCGUGAGGUGGAGCGAAUCCUUUCAAAGCCGGUCUCAGUUCGGAUCGGGGUCUGCAACUCGACCCCGUGAAGUCGGAGUCGCUAGUAAUCGCAGAUCAGCAACGCUGCGGUGAAUACGUUCCCGGGCCUUGUACACACCGCCCGUCACGUCAUGAAAGUCGGUAUCACCCGAAGCCGGUGGCCUAACCCUUGUGGCAGG